GAUGAACGCUAGCGGGAGGCCUAACACAUGCAAGCCGAGCGGUAUUGUUUCUUCGGCAAUGAGAGAGCGGCGUACGGGUGCGUAACACGUGUGCAACCUGCCUUUAUCUGGGGGAUAGCCUUUCGAAAGGAAGAUUAAUACUCCAUAAUAUAUUGAACGGCAUCGUUUAAUAUUGAAAGCUCCGGCGGGUAGAGAUGGGCACGCGCAAGAUUAGCUAGUUGGUGAGGUAACGGCUCACCAAGGCGAUGAUCUUUAGGGGGCCUGAGAGGGUGAUCCCCCACACUGGUACUGAGACACGGACCAGACUCCUACGGGAGGCAGCAGUGAGGAAUAUUGGUCAAUGGGUGCAAGCCUGAACCAGCCAUCCCGCGUGAAGGACGACUGCCCUAUGGGUUGUAAACUUCUUUUGUAUAGGGAUAAACCUACCCUCGUGAGGGUAGCUGAAGGUACUAUACGAAUAAGCACCGGCUAACUCCGUG
rnacentral:rRNA from 1 species